UUGAAUUUUGGAAAAGGAGUUGUGCUGGCCUUUCAAGGCAUGUGCACACUCCUAUCCUAAAAUCCACAUACCCCUGUGCACUUCUGUAGGCCUGAGAAAUUAGGUCUAUGUUUUUUCUACAAACACAAAACAAUAGAAUGUUUUAAAAUAAGCUUUUUUAAAGCUGAAAUAAUAUAAUA
rnacentral:misc_RNA from 1 species